AUCUUGUGAAUUGAGUGAUUUUAGUAAAAUAAAUUUAGAAUUUCGUCGAUUCCAAUAAUAACUUAUUAUGAUUAUUUUAUAGAGUCCGGUUAUAAUGUUAUCAAUAGCACUAAGCAUUUAGUAUUAUUAAUUUUUUUUAUCAUUAGAUCAAACUUUUUAAUCAUUUUUAUCGGUUAGAUUAUACUAUUCAAUCAACCACUCACUCAACCAACUAUGGACUAUUCUUAGGGCAUGUUUGGUUCGCCGAAGGUGUAGCAUCGAAAGUGGUACUUUUAGAAAGUAAUGUCUUAUCGGUUGUUUGGUUUACGAAAGUGAAUAUGAAAGUCACUUUACGAAAGUGGGCUGAUAAAGUGAGUUAUAACUAAAUCUCAUUUUUUUGACGUCGACUCAAAAAAUUCAGAAGUUAUCGAAAGUGGAGAGCUUAGUUAAGAUGUUAUAUAUUCGGUCUUAACUUUAAUGUUUAAAUUUAUUUUUAAAGUUCAAUUUCACUUUAAAUUUGAAUUAAAAUUAUGAUCAGGUUUUAAAUUUUAUUUGUAAAUUAAAAUUCAAUAUAAAAUUUUAAAUUCAAAUUUUUGACUUUAUAUUUAAAUCUAAAUAUUUAAAUUUUAUUUUUAUUUAAAUUUGAAUUCUAGAAUUUAAAUUUAAAUUUAAAUUUAAAUUCUAAUUUUUAUAUAAAUUUAAAU
rnacentral:lncRNA from 1 species